GUGGUGAACGACAGUGUUGAUGAGUGAGAAGGCAUUAGGGCGAUGAUGGUGGAGUCCUUUGCGUGCGUUUGCACAGUUUGUCGGAGGGCGCCGAUGCCCUGGCACCCGUCGGCACAACCGCACGCCACCGCGCGGCGCUCGCCCCUCGGCGCCGCCGGCACCGAAAUCGAUAACUCCGACUUAUCGCAAUAACGCAUAACGGUGGCUAUCUGUUUCGUGCGCGUAUACGGUAAGCACAUGCAAAAGGACACUUUCACGCACAUUAUUCACGAUAACCUGCAAGCGGAAAGUAUGCAUACGCAACAGCAUAAAAAGCAUACAAGAAGGCUUAGAAAUUCAUUGAAAAUUGACCUUGAAAAUACAAAAUGGCCGCUGUGACAAGACCAUAACCUUUAUGAAAAUCCCGAGACUAUUUAUAGAAAUACUAUGGAUAUCCGUAAUUAUUAAUAACCCAUCGAUUGGGAGGCGUUUCCAGAACGAGUGAUUAAUGAUUGACGCGUUCGACGCGACGUCCGCACACGGACGAUUGACGUUAAUAACUCAUCAACGAUGAAAUUUGUCAAUCGUGGUUUAAUGAUCUGCGCUCUCGAAAUAACAAACAAGUACCUACGAAAAAUAUAAAGUUUAUCUGUUUAAAAUCGAUUGGAUGCUACGAUAGACUUCAAAGUUUCGUUAUAGAAGCGCACGUGAUUGAUCAAUAAAUCACGCGCUAAUAAAAGUUAAAUGUGAAAAACAUUGACUGCCUCAUCAACUAAAUGGUAAUGUCGAACGAAUAUAUGUAUGCUUUCUACUUGAAAAUGAAGUAAAUCGGGAACACAUUGCCGUUUAAUGGUGCGAUUUACAGCAUGACAAAGUUAUAACAAACUGAAAUCGUAAACACACGAGUGUACCCGAUGGUGUAUAGAAAAGUUUAUUGCUUUUUCGAAAGAUGUUUAAAAUAGUUGUGCGAAAGUGUCGCCAACACUGGUUUCGAACAACUUCGAAGUGGAACAGCAUCGAACAACAGUAAACGAAGUCGAUUAGUACUUAUUAGUGUUUCGUCUGGUGCUUACUCCCGACGUAAUGUUUACUUAAAUGCACUUUGGUUACAUGUCAGACAUUUCACAUUAAAUCGAUUUGAGUUCGUUAAAUAUA